rnacentral:rRNA from 1 species
CCUACGGGAGGCAGCAGUGAGGAAUAUUGGUCAAUGGACGAGAGUCUGAACCAGCCAAGUAGCGUGAAGGAUGACUGCCCUAUGGGUUGUAAACUUCUUUUAUAUGGGAAUAAAACGUUCCACGUGUGGGAUUUUGUAUGUACCAUAUGAAUAAGGAUCGGCUAACUCCGUGCCAGCAGCCGCGGUAAUACGGAGGACCCGAGCGUUAUCCGGAUUUAUUGGGUUUAAAGGGAGCGUAGGUGGAUUGUUAAGUCAGUUGUGAAAGUUUGCGGCUCAACCGUAAAAUUGCAGUUGAAACUGGCAGUCUUGAGUACAGUAGAGGUGGGCGGAAUUCGUGGUGUAGCGGUGAAAUGCUUAGAUAUCACGAAGAACUCCGAUUGCGAAGGCAGUUCACUGGACUGCAACUGACACUGAGGCUCGAAAGUGUGGGUAUCAAACAGGAUUAGAUACCCGUGUAGUC